rnacentral:misc_RNA from 1 species
ACACCCUCAAGCAAUGCUUGGUGUUGGGCGUCUGUCCCGCUCUCGAAGCGCGGACUCGCCUCAAAGUCAUUGGCGGCGGUCGUGCCGGCUCCUCGCGCAGCACAUUUGCGCUUCUCGGAGGCCCGGCGGAUCAGCAUCCAUCAAGAUAAUCUAUG